AUUGAACGCUGGCGGCAUGCCUUACACAUGCAAGUCGAACGGUAACAGGUUAAGCUGACGAGUGGCGAACGGGUGAGUAAUGUAUCGGAACGUGCCCAGUCGUGGGGGAUAACUACUCGAAAGAGUGGCUAAUACCGCAUACGACCUGAGGGUGAAAGCGGGGGACCGUAAGGCCUCGCGCGAUUGGAGCGGCCGAUAUCAGAUUAGCUAGUUGGUGGGGUAAAAGCGCACCAAGGCGGCGAUCUGUAGCUGGGCUGAGAGGACGACCAGCCACACUGGGACUGAGACACGGCCCAGACUCCUACGGGAGGCAGCAGUGGGGAAUUUUGGACAAUGGACGCAAGUCUGAUCCAGCCAUGCCGCGUGCGGGAAGAAGGCCUUCGGGUUGUAAACCGCUUUUGUCAGGGAAGAAACGAGUUUCUCUAAUACAGAGACUUAAUGACGGUACCUGAAGAAUAAGCACCGGCUAACUACGUGCCAGCCGCCGCAGUAAUAC
rnacentral:rRNA from 1 species